AAGACGAAAAGACCCCAUGGAGCUUCAAACCCAACUACACCCUUAACUACCACAACCGCACAACCUCUUAGGGCCCUGUAUAGUUGGUUUUAGGUUGGGGCGACCACGGAGUACAACCAAACCUCCGCAAUGGACGGGACCACUCCCUUAUCUAAGAGCCACACCUCUAAGAAUUAAAACACUAACAUAAAAUGAUCCAUGAUCUGAUCAAUGAACCAAGUUACCCUGGGGAUAACAGCGCAAUCCAUUUCAAGAGCCCUUAUCGACAAG
rnacentral:rRNA from 1 species